rnacentral:rRNA from 1 species
UACGGGGGGGGCAAGCGUUGUCCGGAGUUACUGGGCGUAAAGCGCACGCAGGCGGUCUCUUAAGUUUGGAGUGACAGUUGGUGGCUUAACUGCCAAAGUGCUUCGAAAACUGAGAGACUUGAGGGCUUCAGAGGGACACGGAAUUCCGGGUGGAGUGGUGAAAUGCGUAGAGAUCCGGAGGAACACCAAAGGCGAAGGCAGUGUCCUGGGGAGUACCUGACGCUCAGGUGCGAAAGCCAGGGGAGCGAACGGG